UUUUUCAUAAUUUUCAAAGAAAAUUAAAGCAUUCAUUUUUAAGGGAGUAAAGAGACCUUUACUGAUGUUGUCAGAACUAGUGGAUUGUCAGUAAGAAAAUCAAGAGAGCUCUUUAACCAAACAAGAAAAAGGUGGAUUCACAAUAUUCUGGAAGUGUGAACUGUAAAGAAAAAUCAAGAUGGAGAACAUUGAAGAAGAAGAAGGCAAAAA